CAGGUUAAUUAUCUACGGCCAUCGGAUUACCGAAGAAUGUCUAACAUAGCACGGGGUGAAAAUGCUGAAAGAAGAAUGAAAAGUAUGCGCAGUACGUCUGACUCAGCUAUGCAAAGGAUUAGUAAAAUGCAGCUUGACUCGAGCGCAGAAAUAGAGCACGUUGGUGAAGUAAACGACAAACAGAAGUCAACGGCGGAAGAAGUCAUCACUGAUAUACAGGAACUUGUGGCUAUUG